GGUAUAUCACAAUUAUGCAAACUGAGAGGAAAAAAGAGAUGCAUCGGAGACAGAACGCUUCCCUUCCUGUCAUACGCACUAGAGUGAUGCUUUGCUAGAAAAGUCUCCUUGUCGGGGCUGAGGUGAACAGAGCAGAGGGGCGCUUUGCUUUCCCUCUUCAGUGCGUUUUACCUCUUGAGGCACCGUAACUUUUAAGUCCUCCAAGUUGUGGUCGGCGCCAUCAUGACGCCAGGGACUGUGAGGUGUUGUUUCUUUUCUUUCCAAUCUCGCCGGGGCGGCCGCGCUACAGUUGACAAGCGGCCAACUAGUUCACUCUUUACCUCUUUUCGGAUAUAGAUGAUUAGUGAUUUCUCCAAAUUAUCUUGUGACCUGGGACACUAUUAUCACACUCAACUUUAAGAAGAGAUUAAAGGGACUACAUACAGUGGCCAAGUCAAGAGGAUUUAAGGCAAAACAGAUACAAUGUAUGAAAAAACAUAAUUUAAAACCCACCAGGAACAUUCACUGAGGAUUUAUGUGCCAAAUGUGAGCACAGGCUCCGGACGCACAGGCUC